rnacentral:misc_RNA from 1 species
CCCAAAUUAGGAGUUAUUUUUUCAAGUUUGCAAGAAGAGCAAAUGGAGUCAACGCCGGAAAAAUUGAACUUUGGAAAUUCUCUGUUAGUACCAAGUGUUCAAGAGCUUGCCAAACAGCACCUAACCAUUAUCCCAGACAGGUAUCUCCAGCCAGAGCAAGAAACUCCGGUCAUUUCCGCCGGAGCGGAGGUUCCAGUUAUCGAUGUUCAAAAGUUGAUUUCAGGUGAUUCCAUGGAUUCUGAGCUGCAAAAGCUUCACUCUGCUUGCCAACAAUGGGGUUUCCUACAGGUUAUAAACCAUGGGGUGACACCUUUGCUCUUGGAGGACUUCAAGAGAGAGGUUAUUGAAUUGUUCAAACUUCCAAUGGAAGAAAAGAAGAAGCUAUGGAAACAGGAAGACAGCUUGGAAGGUUUCGGGCAUGCAUUCGUUGUGUCUGAAGAGCAGAAACUUGAUUGGAGUGACAGGUUUGGCAUACUGACUCUUCCUCCUCAUAUCCGCAAAGUGGAUUUGUUUCAGAAGUUGCCCUCGAAGCUCAGGGAUAUCAUGGAAGCAUACUGCAAAGAAAUUAAGAGCCUAGCAACGAGCAUUAUAUGUCAAUUGGCAAAGGCUUUAAGGAUGGACGAAGAGGAAAUGAGAGAUCUAUUCAAUGAUGGUAUGCAGACGCUGAGGAUGAAUUAUUAUCCGCCUUGCCCUGAGCCAGACAAGGCAAUUGGCAUAAGCCCUCAUUCUGAUGCCGAUGCCAUCACCAUCCUCUUCCAGCUCAAUGAAACUGAAGGUCUCCAAAUCCGGAAAGACGAUGUUUGGGUGCCUAUAAGGCCCCUCCCAAAUGCGUUGAUUGUGAAUAUUGGGGAUAUGAUGGAGAUAGUGAGCAAUGGUGUCUAUAGGAGCAUUGAGCAUAGAGCAAUCGUAAACUCAAAUGAAGAACGUCUCUCUGUUGCAACAUUCUGUGCGUUCAACCUUGAGUCUGAGCUAGGACCUGCACACAGCCUCGUUGGACCAUGUAAUCCUCCUAUUUUCCUAAGAGUUCCCAUGCACAAAUAUUUACAGGACUUUUUUGCACGAAAACUUGAAGGAAAGUCAUACCUUGAUUCCAUGAAGG